AAGUAUUGACCUUAUUCGUGUGUCUUUGCAUACAAAGGUGACAUGGAUCGAUGAUAUUUGUUGUGUUGAGAAUUCUGCUGGAAGCUGUGUCCCCAGAACAAGUACUAGAAGCCCCAUUCAGGAAGCCUACAUUGAUCUGAGCUCCCUUUUUGCCCCUGUAGAGGAAUGUCUGCGACUAAGCCGAGGGCCACUGCAUAAGGGUUAUUGAUGGCAAAACAGGUAGAGGAAUGUCUGCGACUAAGCCGAGGGCCACUGCAUAAGGGUUAUUGAUGGUAAAACAGGUUGGAGACUACAUGAGAUUUUGACAGAUGGCGGGAAACCCUCAUCAACUGGAGAUCAGCCAGUAAAAAGGUAGAGGAAUGUCUGCGACUAAGCCGAGGGCCACUGCAUAAGGGUUAUUGAUGGCAAAACAGGUGACAUGGAUCGAUGAUAUUUGUUGUGUUGAGAAUUCUGCGUGAAGCUGUGUCCCCAGAAGAAGUACUAGAAACCCCUUUCAGGAAGCCUACAUUGAUCUGAGCUCCCUUUCUGCCCCUGUUGGAGACUACAUGAGAUUUUGACAGAUGGCGGGAAACCCUCAUCAACUGGAGAUCAGCCAGUAAAAAGGUAGAGGAAUGUCUGCGACUAAGCCGAGGGCCACUGCAUAAGGGUUAUUGAUGGCAAAACAGGUAGAGGAAUGUCUGCGACUAAGCCGAGGGCCACUGCAUAAGGGUUAUUGAUGGCAAAACAGGUGACAUGGAUCGAUGAUAUUUGUUGUGUUGAGAAUUCUGCGUGAAGCUGUGUCCCCAGAAGAAGAACUAGAAACCCCUUUCAGGAAGCCUACAUUGAUCUGAGCUCCCUUUCUGCCCCUGUAGAGGAAUGUCUGCGACUAAGCCGAGGGCCACUGCAUAAGGGUUAUUGAUGGCAAAACAGGUAGAGGAAUGUCUGCGACUAAGCCGAGGGCCACUGCAUAAGGGUUAUUGAUGGCAAAACAGGUGACAUGGAUCGAUGAUAUUUGUUGUGUUGAGAAUUCUGCGUGAAGCUGUGUCCCCAGAAGAAGAACUAGAAACCCCUUUCAGGAAGCCUACAUUGAUCUGAGCUCCCUUUCUGCCCCUGUAGAGGAAUGUCUGCGACUAAGCCGAGGGCCACUGCAUAAGGGUUAUUGAUGGCAAAACAGGUAGAGGAAUGUCUGCGACUAAGCCGAGGGCCACUGCAUAAGGGUUAUUGAUGGCAAAACAGGUUGGAGACUACAUGAGAUUUUGACAGAUGGCGGAAAACACUCAUCAACUGGAGAUCAGCCGGUGAAAAGGAAGAUUAGACUUGCAAUGCGACUUCUAGACUGUUAACAAGAGCGUUCUUCAAAUUUAGGUCUGCCAACCAAGUUCCUGCUGCACGGAGGUGACACUGUCAUAUGGAGAAUAAUUAUGCUUGACCCAGCGGACUGCUCAACGCUGUACUUUUUCAUUUUUUUGUAUAUUUUGUAAAGUGUGAGGACUCCAUACGGAAGAAGCAUAUUCAACCUGUGGUCUAACUAUUGUCUUGUAUGCCAGCUGGCGAAUGUUGGAAUUUCUUGUCUGUAUGUUCCUGCGUAGAAAACCCAAGAGAUUUAUUAGCGUUAUUUGUAAUUCUAUUUAUAUGGGUGUUCCAGGAAAGGUCUUUUGAGGUGUCCACACCUAAGUAUUUUGCAUUGUCAACAGUUUCUAGUAUUUGUCCAUGGAGUUUGUAAUUAAAGGAGAAUUUUGAUUUA